UAACGCGUGGAACGGAACCUCGUCCCUUCCCGAAGGGAACGGGGGAACAACUAGGUUAGGAAACGACUGACUAACUACCGCAUGAUGUGUUUCGAUGGCAUCAUCGAGACACCAAAGAUUUAUCGCUGGAAGAUGGCCUCGCGUCUGAUUAGCUAGUAGGCGGGGUAACGGCCCACCUAGGCGACGAUCAGUAGCCGGACUGAGAGGUUGACUGGCCACAUUGGGACUGAGAUACGGCCCAGACUCCUACGGGAGGCAGCAG
rnacentral:rRNA from 1 species